AUUAAUGGCCAUGCUACCCUGAACAAGCCCAAUCCUGUCUGAUCUCGGAAGCUUAGCAGGGUCAGGUCUGGUUAGUACUUGGAUGGGAGACCACCUAGGAAGUCCAGGUGCUGUAGGCG
rnacentral:rRNA from 1 species